CACACACACACACACACACAGACUGCUGAGUCCAUACAGACACACACACACAGACUGCUGAGUUCAUACACACACACACACACACACACACACACACACACAGACUACUGAGUCCAUACACACACACAGACUGCUGAGUCCAUAAACACACAGACACGCAGACUGCUGAGUCCAUAAACACACACACACACAGACUGCUGAGUCCAUACAGACACACACACACAGACUGCUGAGUUCAUACACACACACACACACACACACACACACAGACUACUGAGUCCAUACAC